rnacentral:rRNA from 1 species
UUCCUACGGGAGGCAGCAGUAGGGAAUCUUCCACAAUGGGCGAAAGCCUGAAGGAGCAACGCCGCGUGGGUGAAGAAGGUCUUCGGAUCGUAAAACUCUGUUGUUAGAGAAGAAAGUGCGUGAGAGUAACUGUACACGUUUCGACGGUAUCUAACCAGAAAGCCACGGCUAACUACGUGCCAGCAGCCGCGGUAAUACGUAGGUGGCAAGCGUUGUCCGGAAUUAUUGGGCGUAAAGGGAACGCAGGCGGUCUUUUAAGUCUGAUGUGAAAGCCUUCGGCUUAACCGGAGCAG